UACGGGGGGGGUAAGCGUUGUUCGGAAUUACUGGGCGUAAAGGGCUCGUAGGCGGCCAACUAAGUCAUACGUGAAAUCCCUCAGCUUAACUGGGGAACUGCGUGUGAUACUGGAUGGCUUGGAUUUGGGAGAGGGAUGCGGAAUUCCAGGUGUAGCGGUGAAAUGCGUAGAUAUCUGGAGGAACACCGGUGGCGAAGGCGGCGAUCUGGGAAGUUACUGACGCUGAGGUGCGAAAGCGUGGGGAGCAAACAGG
rnacentral:rRNA from 1 species